GCAGGAGCUGCUGAGCUGUAGAAGCCCCAGGCGCUGCCCCUGUCACUGUGUGAAGAACAGACUGCGCUCUGCUGCUGGAAUCAUGACAGCUCCUCUGGCCCUGGGUCUCCUGCUCUCUCUGGCUACCUUGUCUUGUGUCCAGUCCGAUGUUGUGCUGACCCAGUCUGAGUCAGCGGUGGUCACACCCGGAGGGUCUCACAGAUUGAAAUGCACAGUUUCUGGGUUUAAUGUUGCCAGCUAUAGCAUGUACUGGAUUCGCCAGGCUCCUGGGAAAGGGCUGGAGUGGAUAGUCUACUUUUACUCCAGUUCUGACAACAGCUACGCCCCGGCUGUACAAGGAAGAUUCACGGCCUCGAAGGACAGCAGCAGUUUGUAUCUGGACAUGACCAGUCUGAGAGCUGAAGACACUGCAGUCUAUUACUGUGCGAGAGACACUGUGCAGCAGGUGGCCUGUAGGGUGAGACAAAAUCUAGCAGAACAGACAGAGUGUGGCUCAGUGCUCUGUGGUUUACAUUUUCACUAGAAGAAAAUAAACCUCUUAAAUAGGUUGAUUACAUUCCACAAAGCUGACUCAUCAUUAGUUUGAGUCAGAAAUGUAUUGGUUUUAUAAAGGGAGACAACAUGGGCUGACACACAGGCAUAAAAGUUUUACUGGAAAUAUAUACAUGAUUUAGAUCAUAUCUGUAUUGAAUCAUUGAUAAAUUCAAUAGUUGAUUGAGAGACCACACAGGGACACAUGGAUAUACGCUGAAGUUUGGUAUGCUUUGCAGUUUUUUGUCAUUCUUUGACAAUUCUUUAACCCAUAAAAGUGUUCAAAUUUGAUCAAAAACAUUCACUUAAAUUAUGUGUAGCUCAUUUGUAACUAAACAAACUAGAACAUCAUUGAGCCAUCAAUAUGGCUCACCAGCCAUAUUGAAAAAAUAUUUCUUAUUUUUGGGGUGUUUACAAGGCUUGUGCUCUUUUCAUACCAUCUCUUAGAAACCAUAAAUAAAAGCAUCUUUGGAGACUGCUUGGUCCUUUGACACACACAGAUGGACCUGUGAUCUCCAAUGUAAGAGUAAUGUAAGAAAGAGGCUGUUACUGUGAGGCAUGAAUAUAUUCCAUAGUUAAAAUGAUGAUUUUGUACUCAUUGUGAAGCUGUGUGCCUUUAGCCCCCAGUUGUUGAGAUUUUUUUUGCACCAGUGCUCUGAUCUCUGAGCCCCCACUCUUCUCUUGCAUCAGUAAUUGUCACCCACACCUGCAUCUGAUUAUCAUUCCUACUACUAUUUAAACCACCUCUCCUGUCUACUCACUGCUCAGUCUUGAAGCUGGAUUUGGUCUCAGAGUUCUCUCAGUUCUGCUUCAGUUGCUGCCUCUGGUUUUGACCCUCUCCUACUCUGGAUUUUUGACUGGUGUUUGCCCCUUAUUUUACUCCAGACUUAGACCUUGAUUUUCUCACCGUUUUGACUCCUGGUGUUUGACUUCACUUCUGUUAAGUGUGCUUGUUUACCUUGGACUGUUACCCUUUUCUUCAGCAGCUUACUGAUCCUGCCUUAGAAUACCUUCAUAAUCCUCACACUGAUAGGCAAGCACUCACACUGGGGAGAACACUCACUACAUCCUGUCAAACUGAAUGACAUGCAACACUGAGGAGAACUUCCUUCUUCAAGAGCCUCCCAGCUGUCAGCUCAGCAGCCAUAUCGACAGAAACCCAGCAAAAUCUAUGAGUCGAGGAAGGGAGUGAGAAAUCUGAAGGAUGUUACAGGAAUGUUUUUCAGCUUGAGUCUGUGUUGUUCUGAUAUAAGUCACAGGCAGUUUCUGUGCAGAACACUCAAGAACAGAGAAACACAACGGAAUGAUGGAAGAGAUCUGCUGCUCAAUGGCUGGAACAUCACAGCACAGAGACUGGGUCCAUCUGAGAACCUGGGAGGCUGACCACACUUCUCUGAGGCGGGAUCCAGUUUAUUACCACAGAGUGACCACAAUACCUCUGAGACUGAGUCUAGUUCAUCGCUGCAGACUGAACACACCAUCUCAAAGACUAGGCCCAAUUUAGAACCUGGAUGACUGACCACAACACCUCAGUGGGUUCAGUCUGUCACUACAGGAGACUGACCACACUUUCAGGAAUCAAUCUUUGGUCUGCUGCAAAUAAGGGGCUCACUGCUGGACACUGGAGUAAUGUUCAGUGUUUACAGGCACUAGGGUACAACUUCAUCCUUGCAGAUGCCCCCCUGGUUCAUUCCCUGCUAGCGAGUGGGAUUGUGAAAGUAUUGAUCCCUGACCACCCCUGUCAUUUCCUCAGCCAGCAGAGCCCAGUGGAGUGAGAGACCAGACAUACACCCUGACACAACACAUCCUCAGUGCUCACAAAGGAACUAACGCACUGGUGCUCCAGCAUGGCUCCAAUUGUCCACAAUCAAAUGCCAGAGAACGUCGUUUAAAGUGCUUGUACAAUCCGAAGGACGUUCAUUCCUCUACACUGGGUCUUUGUACCAGGUCAGUGCAGAAUUGCACUGCAGUGACUUUGCUUACUGGGGACAAGGAACCCAAGUCACUGUCACAUCAGCAGGAGCUGCUGAGCUGUAGAAGCCCCAGGCGCUGCCCCUGUCACUGUGUGAAGAACAGACUGCGCUCUGCUGCUGGAAUCAUGACAGCUCCUCUGGCCCUGGGUCUCCUGCUCUCUCUGGCUGCCUUGACUUAUGUUCAGUCCAGUGUCGAGCUGAUGCAGUCUGAGUCUACAGAGGUCACACCAGGAGAGUCUCCCUGAUUAAAAUCUGCCACUGCUGGGAUUUGUUUUGAUGACCCUGACAGGUUUCUGGGAAAAUCCUGGAGUGGACAGUUGGGAUUUACUCCUUCUUCUGCUGUAUCUGCACCUCAGCUGAUAAAGGAUAAUUCACAGCCUUCGACAGACAGCAGCACGUUCCUUCUGGAUAUGAGCAGCCAGAUGAAGACACUCAUGUUUAUUACUGUUGGAGAGACGCAGAGGAGCAAGUGAUUUCCCACAUGAGGACAACAUCUAAAGAACAGGUGCAGGACGCCUUUGUGCUCCAGCAAAAUCUACAUGGAAAAACUGAAGCUUCUCGACAGCCUUCAAGAGUAACAAACAGGAAAUACCAUGGCAUGUUUAGUGGACGGCACCAUCGUGUAGAAGGUUUUUGUUAGGACAUGUAUCACUGGGAAGCUCACAACCAAUCUACAGUAUACCUUUGGAGUUGUGAC